AUUGAACGCUGGCGGCAGGCUUAACACAUUCAAGUCUAGCGAGCGGCGGACGGGUGAGUAAUGUCUGGGAAACUGCCUGAUGGAGGGGGAUAACUACUGGAAACGGUAGCUAAUACCGCAUACCAUCAGAUGUGCCCAGAGGGGAUUAGCUAGUGGGUGGGGUAAUGGCUCACCUAGGCGACGAUCCCUAGCUGGUCUGAGAGGAUGACAAGAAAAACGGGAACUGAGACACGGUCCAGAAUGCUACGGGAGGCAGAAGUGGGGAAUAUUGCAAAAGGGGCGAAAGCCUGAUGCAGACAUGCCGAGGGGGUGAAGAAGGCGGUCGGGUUGGAAAGGACUUUCAGCGAGGAGGCGUUACUCGCAGAAGAAGCACCGGCUAACUCCGUGCCAGCCGCCGCGGUAAUUC
rnacentral:rRNA from 1 species